UCGGGAAUUUUGGGCAAUGGGCGAAAGCCUGACCCAGCAACGCCGCGUGAGGGAUGAAGUAUUUCGGUAUGUAAACCUCGAAAGAAUGGGAAGAAUAAAUGACGGUACCAUUUAUAAGCUCCGGCUAACUACGUGCCAGCAGCCGCGGGAAUACGUAGGGAGCAAGCGUUGUUCGGAUUUACUGGGCGUAAAGGGCGCGUAGGCGGCGCGGUAAGUCACUUGUGAAAUCUCUGAGCUUAACUCAGAACGGCCAAGUGAUACUGCUGAGCUAGAGUGCGGAAGAGGCAACCGGAAUUCUUGGUGUAGCGGUGAAAUGCGUAGAUAUCAAGAGGAACACCUGAGGCGAAGGCGGGUUGCUGGGCCGACACUGACGCUGAUGCGCGAAAGCCAGGGGAGCAAACG
rnacentral:rRNA from 1 species